rnacentral:lncRNA from 1 species
UAUUUUCAACACAUAUUUCCAUUCUCACUAUCACAUACUCCAUUUUUCUAAGAAUUCAAACACACAUACACUGUAAACUCAUAUACGAUUCUCCCUCUAUUUACGAUAGUUUACAAAAUAUCAACACCAACGUGAAAAAAUAGACAGUUUAUUUUCAGAAUCUAAUUUUAGUUUGGAUUUGAAUGACGGUGGUCAGAAUUGACAUUGAGUUGCAGACAGAUAUGGUUUGUCAUUGAUCGGAAAUGAAGGAGGGACGACGAUGAUGGCAGAUCUGGCUGUCGUGGGGAGACGAGGAAAAGGAACGACGCGGCGGCAAGGGUGCACCUGAGUUACCGAAAAAGGGAAAGGGAUAGUGACAUAUCACCGACGUUAGUGGUGCAGAUUCGAUGAGGAAUCGGCCGGAGAGAGAAGCGGUGACUUCGCUUGUGGCAGGGAAAUGGGGAAGAGGGAGGCGCUUGUGUGGGAGGAGGAUGGAGACGAUGGCGAUGGGACGACGAUUCCGGCAAAAUAUUUUAUCGGAAAGAUUUGUUUCCCUUUUUCCGUUCACUCCCUUCCAUCGUCCCUCUCUCACAAAUUCCAUCGUCUCUCUCUCACAAUCUUUUUAUAUCUCUCUGUUAUGGUGUAUAUCGUUGUUCUAUUGUAUGAAAAUCUCUAUGAGAGUAUUUGUGAAGUGUGUGCAAGAAACUGUGUAUAGAUAAACAAAAUAAAUUAAUAUAUCUGUGUGC